GACAGAGGGUGCAAACGUUGUUCGGAAUUACUGGGCGUAAAGCGCGUGUAGGCUGCUCCGCAAGUCGGAUGUGAAAGCCCCCGGCUCAACUGGGGAGGGUCACGCGAUACUGAUCGACUCGAAGGCAGGAGAGGGAAGUGGAAUUCCCGGUGUAGUGGUGAAAUGCGUAGAUAUCGGGAGGAACACCAGUGGCGAAGGCGAGUCCCUGGACGACUCCUGACACUGAGGCACGAAAGCUAGGGGAGCAAACAGG
rnacentral:rRNA from 1 species